GGGCGGGUUGGGGGGCCUCGGCCUUUGUGAGCACAGGGCCCCUCCUGGUGACCUCAUCACAGCCCAGAGAAGGGCCCUUUCUUCCCAAGGCGGCCGCUGGGAAUCUGCCUGGGGACAAAGCGGCUGCCCGGCAGGGGACCAGUGAGGGGCUGGCCCCCCCAUGGCAUAAAUUAGGGGGGCUGAAGUGGGGGAGGGGAGGGCAGGGCGGCUGCAGCUGGUGCCCGGAGGAAGGCGCGCACAGACGGCCCCCGAACCCCCCCGCACACACCGGUGCAGGAGCUGCCCCCCUCCGAGGCUCAUUCAUUCAUCUCUACUUCAUUCAUUCCACACAUGGCCACUGGGCACUGGCCCUGGGGACGCAGAAGAGCAUCCGGAGGAGGAAGGAGUGAAUGGACAGCUGCGAGUCACGGGUGCCUGGAGCUCCGAAGGUCUGUGACUCCUAAGCGGGGGAAAUGCCAACUACACUUUAACUGGCCGAGUUCUCCGACCCUGAGUGCUCCGGACGCCUUCCCACCGUCCAGCCUGCACCCAUGCUGAUGAAAUCAGAGCCCCUGGGGUGGGACCCUCCAGGUAAACCCUGUGCUUGCAUGUACCCUACUGGGCUGUCCUGUCCUCCCGGUUCGCCAUGCGGCCUCGGGCAGUGCCUUGGGCAAGUGAUUGCUGUAGAGCCCAAAUCUGUGAAAUACACUUACCAAAACCUGCCGUGGAAUGGUUCGCAGAGUUUAACAUGCACAUGAGGCCUUUCGCCCAGGGCCUGGCACGCAGGAACGUUCACUCAACGAUGGCUUGAAAAAUGUUUAAAUGAUAGCGGAAGCAACGUAGGACACCCCCCGCCCCGCAUCAGACACACUCUGACAGCCGGGCACCCGCUGACCUGCAUCCGGGCCCUGAGGCGGGCCUCGCUCGCCCUCCAGUUAGCGCUUCUGCGCGCUGGAAGUAAGAACCAAGUUUGCCAGCGCUGUGCUGCUCAGCCCCUGUGCGACAUCGCUGCCCUGCGCUGGGGUUUCUCCUGUCUUGUUCCUGACCAGCCUCGGGGGGUCCCUGAGCCCUGUCCCUCAGCCUCCCUGGCCUAUGGCACUCACGGUCUCUCUCCAGCGCUCAGGGAGGACCUGCCCUGCUCUCCUGACAUCCUGGAGUUUAUGCCCGAGACGGAUGCGGGACAAGCGUGUCCUUUGCCACCUCCACGCUGGCUGAGACACAAUAGGAUGGCCAUUUCCCAACCUGAGCACUGAGCACACAGCAGGAGCUUGAGAACAGUUUUAAAAAAAAUUUAUUUAUUGAUUCUUGGCCACAUUAGGUCUUUGUUGCUGUGCGCAGGCUUUCUCUAGUUACAGUGAGCGGGGGCUACUCUUCCUUGUGGUGCGUGGGCUUCUCAUUGCAGUGGCUUCUCUUGUGGCAGAGCACGGGCUCUAGGUAUGUGGGCUUCAGUAGUUGUGGCGCACGGGCUUAGUGGCUCCACGGCAUGUGGGAUCUUUGCGGACCAGGGCUCAAACCCGUGUCCCCUGCAUUGGCAGGCGGAUUCUUAACCACUGCGCCACCAGGGAAGUCCUUGAGAACAGUUUCUAACGUGCGUAAAUAACCCAAGCCUAACGGGGCAGAGCGCACCUUGGUGGGUGGCAGAGAAUUAAAAAUGUCAAAUUUCCUGUC